rnacentral:sRNA from 1 species
CAUCUCCAUGUGCACUCUCAUCUCUUGUAGUCAGCACCAGGUAUCCACAGGGAGGGCCCUACAUCAUCUGCUACCCUGAAGGAUCUGGAGAGCCCGUGCCAAGAACCAGCAGUAGUCCCAGACUCCAGGUCUGUAAAAAUCAGUCAACUGAAGAACACCAUCAAAUCUUUGGUAAGAGUCCAGUGGGGUCCCCUGAUUCCAUGCUGCCAAUCUUGGGCUCGUUUCCCCUUGGGGCCCUGAAGAAAGGGGCUGGGGGCCAAGGGCAAAUAGGGAGCUGGGGCACCCAGGCCUCACCUGGAGGGACCCCAGAACAUGCAGCAUGGCUCUUCUUUUGCUGCCCUCUUUGCCAACUCUCUCCUCUCCAGACACCCCUGCUCGAGUCCUUGCUACACACACCCUGGGGUUGUUGCCUCUCGGGGAACUGCUAGCCUGACUGGUUGUCAGGGGCCCCGUAUUUCUGCCAUGACUCAGUCCCUAAUUUGCUCUUUGAUUCUGGACAAGUCACCUCUCCUUUUUGGGCUCGUGUUUUGAGAGGAGGUAGUGAGUAUCAAAGGUCUCUGUCAGCUCUGAGAGUCCAAGAUUUAAAGGCCCCCUAGAAUGGAAACCUCAGGGCCAAGCGCUCCUGUCUGUCCUUUUCUGUCCUAUAUCUGCUGUGAAGAACUGUACCUGGCCCGUAUGUGCUCAGUAAAUGUUUAUUGAAUUAACGCACUUUUCUAAAUCACAAGCUGGCAGAAGGGGGGGUCUUUCUCAAACUCCAUCUCUAGAGGUUUAUGUUACUCUCCUCUCAAGAGAUUCCAGAUUCAGACUUUUGAGUUUUGUGGCUGUGGGUGAAAACCAACAAAGACCCAAAUCGUCUGUCCUUGGGAGCUUGAAGAGAGUUCACCAGUUCGUGUUCCCACUGGAUGUGAGAACUUUGCCUUUAAAAUCCAUUCCUGGUCCCUGCCUACCGCUUCCUGGUCUGGGGAAUAGAGCUGAGGGGGCCACCCUCCAUCACCUUAAUUUGACUCUCCCCACAGAAACAACAGAAGAAACAAGUGGAACAUCAGCUGGAAGAAGUAACAUGAUUUCUUUGUUUGCUCAUGACAUGACUGCUGGGUUUGGGGGGCACUCAGAUGUAGAGGCCCCAGUCUCAUCUCACCCACUCCCAGCUUGGGGAAGAAGGCUCACCCCUCAGAUUCCACCCCAUCCCCACAGGGUCCCUGGUAACCU